AAGUACCACAUUGUGGUUUCAGGCGAGAGUUCCCAUCCAGAGAGAGCAACUCCAUCAGGAUUUUGGUACUGGAUGAACCACUUUCCACAAUGCCUACCUUUUCCACCCCGGACCAGGCUGUUCUGAGUUUUGCCUCCACAACCAGGCCACCUAGAACGUCAACACUGGCAACUUCUUCAACCAGCUCUUCUCGCUACAUCGCCAGAACACCCUCAACACGCACAAAGCUCCUUGCAUCAAGCACCUCCUGGUCCAGCUCUUCGCAGAUGAGUCUGCAUUAUAGCACCUCAACCAGCAGCACCAAUGCUCAGGAGAGCAGGAAAUCAUCCUCCUGCUGUGAUCCCAAAUCAAUCACAGACCAAAAGAAGGA